rnacentral:rRNA from 1 species
UGGGGAAUAUUGCACAAUGGGCGCAAGCCUGAUGCAGCCAUGCCGCGUGUGUGAAGAAGGCCUUCGGGUUGUAAAGCACUUUCAGCGGGGAGGAAGGCGUUAAGGUUAAUAACCUUGGCGAUUGACGUUACCCGCAGAAGAAGCACCGGCUAACUCCGUGCCAGCAGCCGCGGUAAUACGGAGGGUGCAAGCGUUAAUCGGAAUUACUGGGCGUAAAGCGCACGCAGGCGGUCUGUCAAAUCGGAUGUGAAAUCCCCGGGCUCAACCUGGGAACUGGAUUGGAAACUGGCAGGCUAGAGUCUUGUAGAGGGGGGUAGAAUUCCAGGUGUAGCAGUGAAAUGCGUAGAGAUCUAGAGGAAUACCGGUGGCGAAGGCGGCCCCCGGGACAAAGACUGACGCUCAGGUGCGAAAGAGUGGGGAGCAAACAGG